GAAUUGAGUAGAUUGAGUAUCUUGAUUAGACUUGUUCUCUUUUCUUUGACAGGGCAAAAUCCCUCGCGGAAGAAGAAGGGAGGAGCCUGCAUUGAUUAACACAUUACCAUUCCUGAAUGAAUUUACAUUCAUGAAUUAUAAUAUCGAACCAUUUCUCUGAAUUUUAUUCAAAAGAGCUGCUACCUGAGGAUGCUGCAGUGGUGACCUCCAGAUAAGGAAGGCAUUUUAGGCUGUGACAGGCUAUCCUUCCUCAAGGCUGAGGCAAAAUGAGUUGAGGCGCCCUAUCUUUUCCUCAUAUUUGCAUUUAGAUGCAAUGCAUAUACCCAGAUUUCAACCAGUCAGCUGUUGAAGAGAUGGCAGGCAAUGAGUCUGGCAUGUUCUAUGGGAAGAAAACAGAAACACCUGCAGCUUGUCUGACUGAGGCAGAAGAAACUGAUGGGAACAAUGUUCGGAGGGAAUGACUGAUGAAUGCUUGAUGGUGCUGUUUCAAGAGGAGACCUGGACGUCGGAAACAAGGGAAACCAAGAAUGAUCUGGAUAAUGGAGAAACCUGUGAAUACAACUGGAUUUGAAUCACACUACUGGCUUCAAUUCACACAACCGGAUUGGGAUCCCACUGUGUAAUUUUAGGCAAGUUACUUUACCUCUCUAAACCUCAGUCUUCUUAUCUCUAAAAUAAGGAUAAUACGACUAUCCUGAAUGCUUAUUGUA
rnacentral:lncRNA from 1 species